rnacentral:rRNA from 1 species
UCGCAGUCUGCAACUCGACUGCGUGAAGGUGGAGUCGCUAGUAAUCGCGGAUCAGCAACGCCGCGGUGAAUGCGUUCCCGGGCCUUGUACACACCGCCCGUCAAGUCAUGAAAGUGGGCAGCACCCGAAGACGGUGGCCUAACCCUUGUGGGGGAGCCGUCUAAGGUGAGGCUCGUGAUUGGGACUAAGUCGUAACAAGGUACC